rnacentral:rRNA from 1 species
AACGCUAGCGGCAGGCCUAACACAUGCAAGUCGAGGGAGAAGCCCUUCGGGGCAGAAACCGGCGCACGGGUGCGUAACGCGUAUGCAACCUACCUUUCACAGGGGGAUAGCCCGAAGAAAUUUGGAUUAAUACCCCAUAAUAUUAUUGGAUGGCAUCAUUUGAUAAUUAAAAUUCGAUGGUGAAAGAUGGGCAUGCGUCCUAUUAGCUAGUUGGAGUGGUAACGGCACCCCAAGGCUACGAUAGGUAGGGGUCCUGAGAGGGAGAUCCCCCACACUGGUACUGAGACAGGGACCAGACUCCUACGGGAGGCAGCAGUGAGGAAUAUUGGUCAAUGGUCGGAAGACUGAACCAGCCAUGCCGCGUGCAGGAAGAAUGCCUUAUGGGUUGUAAACUGCUUUUAUAUGGGAAGAAUAAGGAGUACGUGUACUUUGAUGACG